rnacentral:rRNA from 1 species
GACGAACGCUGGCGGCGUGCUUAACACAUGCAAGUCGAACGAAGUGGCGAACGGGUGAGUAACGCGUAAUCAACCUGCCCUUCAGCGGGGGACAACAGUUGGAACCGACUGCUAAUACCGCAUACUGACAGAGCGGAUUGCGUCUGAUUAGCUCGUUGGAGGGGUAACGGCCCACCAAGGCGAUGAUCAGUAGCCGGGCUGAGAGGAUGAACGGCAACAUUGGGACUGAGACACGGCCCAGACGUCUACGGGAGGCAGCAGUGGGGAAUCUUCCGCAAUGGACGAAAGUCUGACGGAGAAACGCCGCGUGAGUGAUGACGGCCUUCGGGUUGUAAAGCUCUGUUAAUCGGGACGCGGUACCGGAAGAGAAAGCCACGGCUAACUACGUGCCAGCAGCCGCGGUAAUUC